AUUCUUCUUAGAUUGACAUAAUUGCUUGACCUCAGCAGUUACACAGGGCGCUGUUGCAGCGCUUUGUUUAAAGAUUUACAUAAUUAAGUCAAUUAGUACUGUGGGACCAAUCCUAGCCGUUAGCGCACGCUGAAAAAAUAGACACAGAUUUAAAAACUAUAUUUAAUGGACUUUUUAACGGUAUCAGUCCGCUUGAGUAACAACGGCCGCGUCAGAUAUUCGUACCAACAUGUAUUUAGCGAUAUUAUUCUGACACUAGUCGAUAAGGCCCGUGGAAAAAUCCACUUAGGCAAAAGGUCAAUGAAAAAAUAGGUUGCUUUAUAUAGAUGUUUUGCUGACGUCAGCAGUGCAUAUACAAAAAAAAAAUGUUCUUAAAAUCUUACACCAAAUCUCAAAUGUCAAAUCGCAUUAAAUCCUCCACACAAAUCUUACACAAAAUAAAAAAAAACAGCUUGCAAGGUGCAAAAUCUAGUUGGUAAAAAGUUACAACAAUGACACUCACAACAUCAACACUCACAACACCCACAAAACCGACAGUAAAACACCGACAGUUACAACACCGACAGUCACAACACGGAUAAAAACAAUGUUAGAAAUAACGCAUCUCAAAUAUGUAUAUCUUAUAAGUGAUUAUGUUGAAAACCCUCAGUAUUUUAUUCUGAAAUGUCAAAAAGGAGGCCUGCAAGAGUUAGCACAAAUCAACAAAAAUAAGUUGCUUUAUAUAGAUGUUUUGCUGACGUCAGCAGUGCAUAUACAAAAAAAAAAUGUUCUUAAAAUCUUACACCAAAUCUCAAAUGUCAAAUCGCAUUAAAUCCUCCACACAAAUCUUACACAAAAUAAAAAAAAACAGCUUGCAAGGUGCAAAAUCUAGUUGGUAAAAAGUUACAACAAUGACACUCACAACAUCAACACUCA